AUCUUGAGAGCGGCGCACGGGUGCGGAACACGUGUGCAACCUGCCUUUAUCUGGGGGAUAGCCUUUCGAAAGGAAGAUUAAUACCCCAUAAUAUAUUGAGUGGCAUCACUUGAUAUUGAAAACUCCGGUGGAUAGAGAUGGGCACGCGCAAGAUUAGAUAGUUGGUGAGGUAACGGCUCACCAAGUCAAUGAUCUUUAGGGGGCCUGAGAGGGUGAUCCCCCACACUGGUACUGAGACACGGACCAGACUCCUACGGGAGGCAGCAGUGAGGAAUAUUGGACAAUGGGUGAGAGCCUGAUCCAGCCAUCCCGCGUGAAGGACGACUGCCCUAUGGGUUGUAAACUUCUUUUAUACUGGGAUAAACCUACCCUUCGUGAGGGUAGCUGAAGGUACAGUAUGAAUAAGCACCGGCUAACUCCGUGCCAGCAGCCGCGGUAAUACGGAGGGUGCAAGCGUUAUCCGGAUUUAUUGGGUUUAAAGGGUCCGUAGGCGGACUCGUAAGUCAGUGGUGAAAUCUCAUAGCUUAACUAUGAAACUGCCAUUGAUACUGCGGGUCUUGAGUAAAGUAGAAGUGGCUGGAAUAAGUAGUGUAGCGGUGAAAUGCAUAGAUAUUACUUAGAACACCAAUUGCGAAGGCAGGUCACUAUGUUUUAACUGACGCUGAUGGACGAAAGCGUGGGGAGCGAACAGGAUUAGAUACCCUGGUAGUCCACGCCGUAAACGAUGCUAACUCGUUUUUGGGUUUUCGGAUUCAGAGACUAAGCGAAAGUGAUAAGUUAGCCACCUGGGGAGUACGUUCGCAAGAAUGAAACUCAAAGGAAUUGACGGGGGCCCGCACAAGCGGUGGAUUAUGUGGUUUAAUUCGAUGAUACGCGAGGAACCUUACCAAGGCUUAAAUGGGAAUUGACAGGUUUAGAAAUAGAUCCUUCUUCGGACAAUUUUCAAGGUGCUGCAUGGUUGUCGUCAGCUCGUGCCGUGAGGUGUUAGGUUAAGUCCUGCAACGAGCGCAACCCCUGUCACUAGUUGCCAUCAUUCAGUUGGGGACUCUAGUGAGACUGCCUACGCAAGUAGAGAGGAAGGUGGGGAUGACGUCAAAUCAUCACGGCCCUUACGCCUUGGGCCACACACGUAAUACAAUGGCCGGUACAGAGGGCAGCUACUAUGCGAAUAGAUGCGAAUCUCGAAAGCCGGUCUCAGUUCG
rnacentral:rRNA from 1 species